AUACGUAUGGUGCAAACGUUGUUCGGAAUCACUGGGCUUAAAGCGGGCGUAGGCGGUUUGGUCAGUCUGUUGUGAAAUCCCUCGGCUCAACUGAGGAACUGCAACGGAUACUGCCAAGCUAGAGUGCAGGAGGGGAGAGUGGAAUUCCUGGUGGGGCGGUGAAAGGCGUAGAUAUCAGGAGGAACGCCGGUGGCGAAGGCGGCUGGCUGGGCCGGAUCUGACGCUCAUCCGCGAAAGCGUGGGGAGCAAACAGGAUUAGAAACCCGGGUAGUCC
rnacentral:rRNA from 1 species